rnacentral:rRNA from 1 species
UACAGAGGUCUCGAGCGUUGUUCGGAUUCAUUGGGCGUAAAGGGCGCGUAGGCGGUGGGGUAAGUCUGGUGUGAAAUCUCGGAGCUCAACUCCGAAAUUGCACUGGAUACUGCUCUGCUAGAGGGCUGGAGAGGAGAUCGGAAUUCACGGUGUAGCAGUGAAAUGCGUAGAUAUCGUGAGGAAGACCAGUGGCGAAGGCGGAUCUCUGGACAGCUCCUGACGCUGAGGCGCGAAGGCUAGGGGAGCAAACGGG